rnacentral:lncRNA from 1 species
CAGUACAAUCGUCACCAAAACAAUACGUGAGGUUUAAGUUGUCCAAAAAUAACACCUAAAAAAAAGUACACAAACGCUCGUCGUCACCCAAUCAUAGAUUUUGAUUUUCAUCAUGUGGCAUAUGGCAUAUGGCAUAUGGCAUCAAGAUGCUAAUUUUACUCACAGACAUGUCAUCCAUCCUCAUGCAGAAUUGAUCAAAUGUGAGGUGACAUCAGAGGCGUCUUCCAGCACUAAACAAAAUUCAGCAUCCGCUCAGCAACUGCCACCAAAGGUCAACAUUGCUGUCAAUGAAUAGAUUAGAAAUCCUUGCAUAGAGGAAGGAUUUAAAAUUGCCUGCCAAUGAAAAGAACUUCUCUUUCGUUCAUUAUUGCUAUAUUGUAUAUGGGGAGGCUUCCACGGGCAAAACAACCCUACCGGAGUGUUUUUCUUAAACAAAACAACCCUAUUUUGGGCUGCAUGAUUACGAGGCGUGGAGAGAUAUUGUAUUUUCUGUCUUUACACGUAGUAGUACGCUACUGGGUCCAGUCUACCUUCUACUGGCCGGAAUCUUGCACCAGUGGCCCGGUCGCUACGUUGGCGUUCUCAAGAAAAUACUCCGUUAAGAACAACUCCCGCUUCAAUCCAUUUCAUCUACGCACGUCUGUUUGGAUUGUGGGAGAUCGAAAAAUCGUUCUAAUGCAUCGAUUCAAAUAAACGCGCGUUCGUUCUCCGUUCGCCUGUUAAUUCAUUUUCAAUCAUUUUUAGCCCGAUUUGUGUCGGCGUGGACAUAAGAUAGACGCACACGCUGAGCGCCAACUCCUCCUCCUGGUCCGCUAGUCGGUGGCAAAGCCUCCAUCAUUUUCCUUCAUUUUUUUGAAACCCUCCCACCCCCGCGCCCUCCUUGCCGCUUGCCAGGGACGACGCCCUUGAUGCCACCGCCGGCCUCGCUUCCCUCGCCUCGUGCGUCAUCACGACCGCCCCCUUCCACAAAGGUAAGCCUCAUGCCCCCCACAAGACCGUCACCGUGCCCUAGAAGAAGAAGGAGCUGACGCCCGAGGAGCAGGCUAGGGAGUCGACGAAGAGAAAGGGUUGUACCAAAUUGAAGAAGUUUCCAUCGUGAAUUUCACGAAUGCAAGAAGUUUUCACCGUAUCAAAUGCAAAGCACGCAUGGGUGGGUUUUCAUUUCAAAGCGAUGGACGGUGAUCCAGCAAGAACGCAAUAAGUUUUGUGCCUCUUAUGAGAGCAUCAAGGCACGCCCGUGAGUGGCAUCGACAUGAAAGACAUGGUAUGCAUGCAUACACCCCUCUUUGUUUGCAUGUUCAUUUGCUAAUAUGCUUACAUGUAAUUCAUUUAUAGGCAUUUCAAGCUUUUGAGGCAUUCAAGGUGCAACAUGAAGGCAAGUUCUUCAAACUUUCUCAUUGUUGGAGGAUCAUCAAAGAUGAGGAAAAGUUCAAGCUCCAAUAUGCCUCCCUCACAGUGCAUGAGGGGAAGGAAGCCGUGGAGGACGUUGGGGAGGGUGAGAAAUCACGACCAGUGUGAAAGACCAACUCGAAGAAGGAGGACAAGCGGGAUGCGUGUCGAUCGCCUUGAUCGCAACCGUGAAGGGCAUGAUGACCAAGAAGGAUUCAAGGGAGGAGAAGCGCCGGCAAGACAGUCAAGAGCAAAUGAACGGCAUCAUGGAGAUCCAAAGGAGGAGGCUUGAGAUGGAGGCGGAUAAGCAAGUCAGGAUGCUUGAGAUGGAGCCGGAGAAGCAAGCCAAGAUGCUAGAGAUCAAGGCCGUCAAUGUCAAGACCAAGGCGAAAGAAGUGGCUCUCGCUAGCAUGAUGACACGGGUGGAGAUCAUGAAGGUGGAUCUCAACACCGCGCCGCCAAGGAAGAGCCGUGGUUCGAGAAGAUGCAGGACGACAUGUUCAAGUUCGACGACGAGUGAUCUAUGAUGGCGAGCGACAUCAUUUUUUGUAUGCCAACAAGUGUGCUCGCAUGACCACGGUCGUAAUGGCAUGGUUGAACUCCUGCCAUUUUUUGUGUGUUGGCAUAUGUGCCGGCCGCUGGCAAGUGCGUCGGCAUGAACUAUGUGGUGUUUUCUAAAUUUGGCAUUGUAUGCCGGCCGCUGGCAUAGUGACAACACGAACUUUAGGCGACGCCAUGGUGGAUAACUGGAUCUACGCCUUUUUAAAUGUGUGUUCGGACAUAAAAUGGAUCGUGGAUGUUGGACGCACUGUUGGUACAAAUAUUAAAAAGGGCGGACGCUGAACGAACGACCGAUCCGGACGGACAAAAGUGAACAAGAACACCGUCCAUUUAGAUCGGCGCAUUGAAGUUGCUCAAACUUAUGAAUUUAUCACGCUGAUCAGGUUUUAGGGUAGGAUUUAUCUCUUAUAAUUCUAAGCCUCUUCCACACUGAUAAGUUUUGAAUUUUGUGUCCCAAGAAACUAAACUAGGUUUGCUGCCUGAACCAUGCUGUCCUUUUGUCAUAGAAGAGCAACGCUAUCUAAUAAUCUGAAAUGCAAAGUCAAGCAUCACGGUCACAGCGCCGAGUAUAGAUUGAAAUGGAGAGGCGACGUACGUAACAACCAUAGACCAUCAGGAUUAGUGGUUAAGAUCCAGUUUUUCUAGUACGAUGUAGAGUAGAAGAGAACAAAGAUUAAAAGGCAUGAUUAGAGAGGAGGAAACGUUCGAAAGCUAAUGUGGAUUUACGGCGCACCGUAGGUAAAGCACACGGAGUUUAACGCUCUUGACCAAUGACAUCAGGAAUCAAAUUAAGAUGCCAAAGUUUAUUCAGAGACAAAAUGAAAGCUCGAUCUGAAAGAUCCGUGGAUCCUCUAGGUUAGAUGGAUCCGGUAGGUAGUCGCGUUUUACCUUGCCCCCAACUCGAUGAGCUCCCGCCGUCGUUCAUCGUAAGGUGGUGACGACGGUGGGGAAGGAUAGAUGGGUGUGGCGUGGGUGGUGCUUCCCGUGAGCACCGCGCUAACCCUAGAUCGUAUGGGUUUGUAGGUGGAGAGUGUGGCGACGGCGAACCUCGUAAUCCGUGCCCCGACACUCCACCUUCCUUUAUAUAGCGCGGGUCACAGGGCCCAUCAACCAUAACGGGUUGGGCGCCCCCGAUCAGGGCGCAUAGAUCAGGGUCCGGUGGGCCGUUGGGCCCACUUGGGAGGAGAUCAACCUAACAUUCUUCCCCUUUAUCUCAACUUUUACUUUUAACUUUAUACUUUCUAGUUUAUUUGUUCCAUCACAUAUAGGCAUGUAGAGCAUGUCUCAUCGUCAUAGCUUAAUUGCCGAUAGAAUCAUACAGCUACAACACAUGUUUAGUUUUGAAACAAAUUCAUUUACUUUGUGCCUCUUAUGAUCCACGAAUCACAGGCUUUCCAUCAAACCCAUGCCGGCUAAGUGUUCCUUGAACACACUGGGUGGUAAGCCUUUCGUUAGCGGAUCCGCAAGCAUGUUCUUCGUACUUAUAUGCUUGAGACUUAUAGUUUGAUCCUGGAUUUUAUCUUUCACAACAUAAUACUUUAUAUCUGUUGUCUUGGAAGCAUUACUCGACUUGUUGUUGUGAGCAUAAAAUACUGCGGGCUGGUUGUCAUAGUAUAUCUUUAGUGGCUUGUGAAUACAAUCUACCACUUACAAUUCGGGUAUAUUUUUUUAACCAUAUCACUUGCCCGGUGGCUUCAAAACAUGCUAUAAACUCUGCUUGCAUCGUGGACGAUGCAACUAUGGUCUGUUUGGAGCUUUUCCAUGAAACAACUCCUCCAGCGAGAGUGAACACGUAUCCAGACGUGGAUUUUCUAUCAUCUCUAUAUCCCGCAAAAUCUGCGUCUGAAUACCCUUUUAUCUCUAGGAAACCAGAUCUUCUGUAUGUUAGCAUGAUUUCCUUUGUGCCUUGCGCAUAACGCAAUGCUUUCUUUGCCAUCUUCCAGUGCUCUUGGCCUGGAUUUGCUUGAUAUCAACCGAGUACCCUGGUGAUAAAAGCUAAGUCAGGGCGUGUGCACACUUGUGCAUACUGUAAACUUCCAACAGCCGAAGUCUAUGGCAUUGUUUUCAUUUCAUCGAGCUCGUACUGAUUCUUGGGACAUAGGUAAUUCCGAAAACUAUCGCCCUUGACUAUAGGAGCAGGUGUGGCUUUACACUUAUGCAUAUUAUACUUCUUGAGAUCUUUCUCUAAUUAUGCUUUCUGCAACAGUCCCAAGACUCCAUUUUUCCUGUCUCGGUGAAUUUCAAUGCCCAAAACAUAUGAAGCAUCACCAAGGUCUUUCAUAUCAAAGUUUGAGGAUAAAAACUUCUUGUUUCUUGUAGUAGACUAAUACAAUUGCUUGCAAGCAAGAUAUCAUCCAUAUACAAGAUUAGGAAAAUGUAUUUCCCAUUUUUAAACUUUGCAUAAAUGCAGUUAUCCUCAACAUUUUCUUUAAAACCAAACCUUUUAAUAGUAUCGUUAAACUUUAGAUACCACUCUCUAGAGGCUUGCCUUAGUCCAUAAAUGGAUUUCUUUAGGCGGCAUCCCAUAUCUUCCUUGCCUUCCAUGAUAAAACGCUUGGGUUGUUUCAUGUAGACAUCUUCUUCUAAAUCUCCGUUUAGAAAUGUCGUCUUUACAUCCAUUUGAUGCAGCUCUAAAUCAAAAUGAGCAACUAGUGCCAUUAUGAUUCUGAAGGAAUCCUUACAAGAGACUGGAGAAAAAGUCUCAUUGUAGUCUAUCCCUUCUCUUUGUGUAAAUCCUUUUGCUCCAAGUCGGGUUUUAUACUUUUCUAUAUUCCCAUUAGAGUCAUACUUUGUUUUGUAGACCCAUUUACAACCUACUGUCUUUGCUCCUUUAGGAAUAAUUUCUAAGUCCCAAACAUCGUUGGAAUUCAUCGAUUUUAUCUCAUCUUCCAUUGCCUCUAGCAAUUUUUGAUGAGUGAGGGUUUUUAAUGGCUUCUUCAUAUGUGGUGGGAUCACCUUCCAUAUGAACCAUUUCUGUGUUAUAGACUUUAUAAUCAGUAGAAAUAGCUAGUAUUCUUGUUCUAUUAGACCUUCUAAGUGCCUCAUUUUCUGGCAUAAUUUCUACUAUUUCUUGCUGCACUUACCUUUCAUGAUCAACAACAGGUUCAGUCGGCUCCUGAGGGACAGGUUCCGGGUUUUCUCCCAUAGUUGUCAUCGUUGGACUCACAGCGGGUAGUGAGAAAAAUGGCUCUUGACUCAUUGGAUUAGGUGCAUGCACCCUCUUCUCCUCAAGAUAAAUUUUCCGAGCUAUGAAGCUCCCCCUCAUCAUUUCGUCCUCUAAGAAGACCGCAUGUCUCGUUUCUACAAACUUUGUGUAUCUUUCUGGACAGUAGAAACAAAAACCUUUUGAUCUAUCAGGAUAGCCAAUGAAAUGGCAACUCACUGUUUUUGGAUGUAACUUUCCAAUGUUUGAAUUAAACAUUUUGGCCUCAGCUGGACAUCCCCACACCCUGAAGUGUUGUAGAGAUGACACUCUUCCUGUCCACAGCUCAUGCGGUGUUUUGCGCACCGACUUGCUUGGUACUCUUUUAAGAAUGUGAAUGGCCGUUUUAAGCGCAUCCAUACACAAUCCCAAUGGCAGGUCCGUGUAACUCAUCAUGCUGCGUACCAUAUCCAUUAGGGUACGGUUGCGCCUUUCAGAUACCCCAUUUUGCUGAGGCUCGCCCGACAUUGAAUACUGGGCAACUAUGUCAGUCUCCUGCAAGAACUUUGCAAAAGGUCUAGGGACUUGGCCAUAUGGAGUGUGUGGACCGUAGUACUCCCCCCCACAGUCAGACCUCACUAUCUUUAUCUUUUUUGUCAAGCUGAUUUUCAACUUCAGCUUUGAAUAUUUUGAAUUUAUCCAAUGCUUCAUUUCUUUCUUUGAUUGGAUAAAUGUAACUGAAGCGGGAGUAUUCAUCUGUGAAUGUUAUGAACAAAUCAUAACCAUCCACACUUUUCACUGGAAAUGGUCCACAAAUAUCAGUGUGAACAAUUUCCAGUGUUCCUGUGCUUCGGUUUGCACCCUUCUUUAUCCGUUUUACAUACUUUGCUUUAAUGCAAUCUAUGCAUUGUUCUAAGUCAGAGAACUCCAACUGAGGAAGAAUUUCACUUUUGACUAAUCUUUCUAUUCCCCCCUGGAAAUAUGUCCCAAGCGAUAGUGCUAUAAUUUCGAGGAGUCAUGAGUUCUCUUUAUUUUCUUUUGUUCUUUGUUCGAUGAGGAACUAUGCUCAUUCACAUUAUUUGCAUAAUGUACUUUUCAAGAAGUGAUAACAGAUAAAGCUCAUUAUGGAGGAAAGCAUCGCCUACAUAAUCAUUAUUAUACCAAAUGGCACAUUUGCCAUGUACGAAAAAGCAUUCAUAAUUGUCUUUAUCCAAGCAUGAGACACUUAUGAAAUUCCUAUUACAUGAAGGCACGAAUAGUACAUCUCUAAGCAAAAGCUUGAAUCCAUCGACUAGCUCCAAGGAGACGUCACCUACAGCUUCAACUUCUGCUUGGACACCAUUAGCGACUUCAAUGCUGCUUUCUUUUCUUCGCAUGGUCCUCGUCGAACUGAAUCCCUGUAAACAGUUUGUAACAUGAAUAGUUGCUCCUGAGUCAAUCCACCAAGUAGAUUUCGAAAACUUUAAAUACAGAGAUUCAUUUACAAAGGAAACGCUGUCGUUGCCUCUCUUUGCCAUGAGGCCUUUAGCCAGGCAUGGCAGUCCUUCUUGUAGUGCCCUGACUGCUUGCAGUAGAGACAAGUGUCCUUGUCCACUUGAAUAGGCCUUUGCUGAUAAUGAGCGGGAGCUUUGCCAUGUGGCUUUGAGGGAGAACCUCUGUUGGGUUGCAAAACCUUUUUCUUUUCCUUCACAUAGUUCACGGAGCCACCAUGUGAAGCUUUGAUUCUGUCCUCUUCCUGUGAAUACAUCGCUAUGACCUUUUCUAUGUCCCAUGUGUCACGUUGCAUGUUGUAGUUCACAACAAAGGUCUCAAAUUCCUUUGGCAGCGAAGCCAUGACCAAGUGGACGAGGACAGCUGGUUUGAUCUCCAGAUCCGCAUCCAUGGGCUUGAGCUUGGCUACCGUAUUGCUCAUCCGCAGGAUGUGCUCUCUUAUGCCAUGGCCACCUCCAGUGUAGCUCUCUGUGACCAGUUGUCUUAUCAACUGGGUGGCAUAUGUCUUUGAAGAGCUAGUGAACUCACUCUUUAUCUUGGUUAGCAUCUCCGUUGCAGAAGUGCACUCUGGAAUUGAGCCCACAAUGGUGGUCUCAAUUGUGUUCUUUAUAAUGCCAAACAUUUUUUGUUCGCAUUUAUCCACUUUUUGUCGUUUAUGGAGUAUGACAUCUCCUUAUUGACACUAUCCCAUUUCUUUUUCUUCCAAGCCUCAUCAUCAUCAUUAGCAUCUCUGACUGGGUCUGGAGGUGCAACCGGCUUUGGUUCCUCCAGAACCUAGUCCACCUCAGCAAUGACAAGAGCCAUGUCAACUUUCUUCCUCCACUCAGAGUAAUUAUCACGUUUGAGUGUAGGAACAUCCUUGAGGCAAAUCAUUAGGUGGAAACCUCCUGAAAUCACAAUUUAAGCUAGAUCAGUACAACAAUUAUAUGCAUUAAUUAACGUUGGUCAAAUUAAAUAUACAAUAGUCUAUGCAAAUAAAUCUACAUUACUGUUGGGUAAAUGAUAGAAAUAAAUGCAUCUUUUAUGCCAAUAAAGCAACAUGAUUAUGUUAUUAACAACGUUGGUUAGAAAAAUAACAUAACCAUAUUUCAUAUAUCACUUAGCAGCGGAAACGUGAAUUUAAAAAAUUCAUGUAAUUUUCUACUUUACAGAAAAAAUGUUCCGUUAUAAUUAAAAAAAUCAUGAACUUUCAUAAUCCCUUUUAUAAAAUCCAUGAACUUUUCUUUUUCUGAAAAUCUAUUUUUAUUUGAAGAACCUUUUAUUUUUCUUUUCAGAAAAAUUAUCAUUACUUUUCUGUCUAUUUUACAGAAAAUUUCAACGUUUUCUUUUCUUUUUACUAAAAAAUAUUUUUGUUGGAAAAAGUUGAGUAGAAAAGAAAUUAGAAACUGUGUAGAAACUGUCUAAAAAUUAGACAAAACUGGGGCUGUGGCCACUCUGGGCCGAAAGCCUCUCUAGCAUGGGGCGCCACGUGGGCCUGCCCCGGCUCGGCUAGCUCUCUCCCCAUCGUCCUGGCACCUCCCUUUGCCUAGGCCGGCGCUUGCUUCCUGGCCUGUGGCCUGGCGCGACGCACCUCUCGCCGGCCUGAGGCCUCGCCUCGACCUGCCAACCUUUUGCCUCGGUCCGAGUGGCCGUGCUGCCUCCCUUUGGCCCAACAUGGCCUGGUGAGGCUAGGGUUUCGCCCUGGACCGUCGGAUCUAAUCCGACAGCUGGGCGCGACUUUCUCGUGCGACAAAACCGGUCACAGCCACACCGAGCCGAAACCCUAGCCCAUUCGUUUUCCUCCAACGCCGCUCCCCUCUCCUUCCUGUCUCUCGCUCGCAGCAGCGGCUGCCCAGCCCCGCCGGAGUGCUGACAGGUUGGUCUCCUACGGUGGCUGUCACUACGCGGAGGGCACUAGAGCUGGCCGCCGGUAGCGGCGACCAAAGGUCCCGUGCCGCGCGCGCCACGCUUCACUUUCCUCUCCCCGGAGCCGUAGCCUUCCCGUCGCUGGCUGCGCACACGCCUUGCGGUGUGUGCGCCGUCGUCGAGCGGUUGGCUGCGGUUCCCCUACUUCCUUUUCGUUUUGCCGUCCACCACCAUGAGCAGAGAAAACCCCCGGCUGCGUGAUGCGACGGCGCCAUCGCCGUCUCCUUUGCCGGCGUGUGCGAGCACCUGUAGGGUGAACGCGCCGCCGUCAAACGGCUCGGUGGUGGUGCCCUUUACCCCUGUGGGGUUAACUUUCUUUGCAUGUUCCCCUUUUCUUUGGAUUUUUUGUUUGCCUUUUUCGGAUCCAAUACGAUUUGUUCUUUGCCUCCGAAGAGGUAGGUUCUUCUUCCCCACACCUCGGCUUGCCGAUGCGUGUGGGGAUCGAGAGGAAUAGGCGCAGCCUUGCGGCGGCGCUCUUUGCCGACGAGGCCCGAGGCCAUCUUCGGUGCUUUUGGGGAGGGGGAUCCUUUGCUUUCGUUUUCUUCUUUCAACCGGAACACAUCUAGUCCCUAGCGGCUCAUGAUACCAUUGAUAGAUCCGUGGAUCCUCUAGGUUAGAUGGAUCCGGUAGGUAGUCGCGUUUUACCUUGUCCCGAACUCGAU